rnacentral:rRNA from 1 species
AGAGUUUGAUCCUGGCUCAGGAUGAACGCUGGCGGCGUGCUUAACACAUGCAAGUCGAACGAACCUUCGGGUUAGUGGCGGACGGGUGAGUAACGCGUGAGAAUCUGCCCUCAGGAGGGGGAUAACGGCUGGAAACGGCCGCUAAUACCCCAUAUGCCGAGAGGUGAAACGAAUUUCGCCUGAGGAUGAGCUCGCGUCUGAUUAGCUAGUUGGUAAGGUAAGAGCUUACCAAGGCAUCGAUCAGUAGCUGGUCUGAGAGGAUGAUCAGCCACACUGGGACUGAGACACGGCCCAGACUCCUACGGGAGGCAGCAGUGGGGAAUUUUCCGCAAUGGGCGAAAGCCUGACGGAGCAACGCCGCGUGAGGGAUGAAGGCCUCUGGGCUGUAAACCUCUUUUCUCAAGGAAGAAGACAUGACGGUACUUGAGGAAUAAGCCACGGCUAAUUCCGUGCCAGCAGCCGCGGUAAUACGGGAGUGGCAAGCGUUAUCCGGAAUUAUUGGGCGUAAAGCGUCCGCAGGCGGCCUUUUAAGUCUGUUGUUAAAGCGUGGAGCUCAACUCCAUUUCGGCAAUGGAAACUGGGAGGCUGGAGUGUGGUAGGGGCAGAGGGAAUUCCCGGUGUAGCGGUGAAAUGCGUAGAUAUCGGGAAGAACACCAGUGGCGAAGGCGCUCUGCUGGGCCAUAACUGACGCUCAUGGACGAAAGCCAGGGGAGCGAAAGGGAUUAGAUACCCCUGUAGUCCUGGCCGUAAACGAUGAACACUAGGUGUCGGGGGAAUCGACCCCCUCGGUGUCGUAGCCAACGCGUUAAGUGUUCCGCCUGGGGAGUACGCACGCAAGUGUGAAACUCAAAGGAAUUGACGGGGGCCCGCACAAGCGGUGGAGUAUGUGGUUUAAUUCGAUGCAACGCGAAGAACCUUACCAAGGUUUGACAUCCUGCGAAUCCCUUGGAAACUUGGGAGUGCCUUCGGGAGCGCAGAGACAGGUGGUGCAUGGCUGUCGUCAGCUCGUGUCGUGAGAUGUUGGGUUAAGUCCCGCAACGAGCGCAACCCACGUCUUUAGUUGCCAGCAUUUAGUUGGGCACUCUAGAGAGACCGCCGGUGAUAAACCGGAGGAAGGUGUGGAUGACGUCAAGUCAUCAUGCCCCUUACAUCCUGGGCUACACACGUACUACAAUGCUACGGACAAAGGGCAGCAAACUCGCGAGAGCUAGCAAAUCCCAUAAACCGUGGCUCAGUUCAGAUCGUAGGCUGCAACUCGCCUACGUGAAGGAGGAAUCGCUAGUAAUCGCAGGUCAGCAUACUGCGGUGAAUACGUUCCCGGGCCUUGUACACACCGCCCGUCACACCAUGGAAGUUGGCCACGCCCGAAGCCGUUACU